rnacentral:lncRNA from 1 species
GGAGAAACUGGCUCUGCAGAGUGAACUUGGGAGCAACAUGCAGAAAAAAAUAAAAGGGCAUUCUGGGGAAAACCCACAUAUCCUGAGGAAAACCCACAGUGGUGAGCUCUUCAUGGCAUCUGUGUCCUUAUAGCCUGUCCAUACCCUGAGAGAACCCAUGAAAAUGUCUGCAUAUGGGGUCCAGAGAGGGGUGCUGUGUGGAACCUUGGAUCCUGUCAUUUCUCUUUUCACAGCCAGUCCAAACCAUUCCCAGAAAGAUCCUGGAAUCUUUAGUUACUAUGGUGUUCAGCAACAGCAUGAAAAGAUUAUUUAUUGGAGUCAUCAAGGCAGAAUACAUUUGCGUUUUAGGAUUAAAUCCAGAAUGCAAGAAAACACAUUGGGUCUUCUCUGCCAAGGAAAGAAUAAAGAUAAAGUCAGAGAAGCAGAGCCUGCCCAGGAAAUAGUCAAUGGACCCAGGCCAAGUGGACAUCGGAAGUGAGAAUCACAGAAACCUGAGGAAUCCUAGGAUGAACAGACAGAGACAAUUACUGUUAAUCCA